AUUGAACGCUGGCGGCAGGCCUAACACAUGCAAGUCGAACGAGUGGCGGACGGGUGAGUAAUGUCUGGGAAACUGCCUGAUGGAGGGGGCUAACUACUGGAAACGGUAGCUACUACUGCAUACCAUCAGAUGUGCCCAGAUGGGAGUAGCGAGUUGGUGGGGUACAGGCUCACCAAGGCGACGAUCCCUAGCUGGUCUGAGAGGAUGAGCAGCCACACUGGAACUGAGACACGGUCCAGACUCCUACGGGGGGCAGCAGUGGGGAAUCUUGCACAAUGGGCGCAAGCCUGAUGCAGCCAUGCCGCGUGUAUGAAGAAGGCCUUCGGGUUGUAAAGUACUUUCGGCGGGGAGGCGUUACCCUCAGAAGAAGCACCGGCUAACUCCGUGCCAGCAGCCGCGGUAAUAC
rnacentral:rRNA from 1 species